AACGAACGCUGGCGGCAGGCUUAACACAUGCAAGUCGAACGCCCCGCAAGGGGAGUGGCAGACGGGUGAGUAACGCGUGGGAAUCUACCCAGAUCUUCGGAACAACUGAGGGAAACUUCAGCUAAUACCGGAUACGCCCUACGGGGGAAAGAUUUAUCGGUUCUGGAUGAGCCCGCGUUGGAUUGGCUAGUUGGUGAGGUAAAGGCUCACCAAGGCGACGAUCCAUAGCUGGUCUGAGAGGAUGAACAGCCACACUGGGACUGAGACACGGCCCAGACUCCUACGGGAGGCAGCAGUGGGGAAUAUUGGACAAUGGGCGAAAGCCUGAUCCAGCCAUGCCGCGUGAGUGAUGAAGGCCUUAGGGUUGUAAAGCUCUUUCAGUAGGGAAGAUAAUGACGGUACCUACAGAAGAAGCCCCGGCUAACUUCGUGCCAGCAGCCGCCGUAAGAC
rnacentral:rRNA from 1 species